rnacentral:rRNA from 1 species
UCCUACGGGGGGCAGCAGUGGGGAAUAUUGCACAAUGGGGGCAACCCUGAUGCAGCGACGCCGCGUGAGUGAGGAAGUAUUUCGGUAUGUAAAGCUCUAUCAGCAGGGAAGAAAAUGACGGUACCUGACUAAGAAGCCCCGGCUAACUACGUGCCAGCAGCCGCGGUAAUACGUAGGGGGCAAGCGUUAUCCGGUUUUACUAGGUGUAAAGGGAGCGUAGACGGACUUGCAAGUCUGAUGUGAAAAUCCGGGCCCCAACCCCGGAACUGC